CCUACGGUGGGCAGCAGUGGGGGAUAUUGCACAAUGGGGGGAACCCUGAUGCAGCGACGCCGCGUGGGUGAAGGAGUGCUUCGGCAUGUAAAGCCCUAUCGGCAGGGAAGAAGCAAGACGGUACCUGACUAAGAAGCCACGGCUAACUAGGUGCCAGCAGCCGCGGUAAUACGUAGGGGGCGAGCGUUAUCCGGAUUCACUGGGUGGAAAGGGAGCGUAGACGGCCAAGCAAGCCAGGGGUGGAAGCCCGGGGCCCAACCCCGGGGCUGCCCUUGGAACUGCAUGGCUGGAGUGCGGGGGGGGCAGGCGGAAUUCCUGGUGUAGCGGUGAAAUGCGUAGAUAUCAGGAGG
rnacentral:rRNA from 1 species